UUUUUUUUUUUUUUUUUUUUUCUUUUCUUCGGUAAGAAGAACGCUGGCGGCGUGCUUAAUACAUGCAAGUCGAGCCGACAGAUGGGAGCUUGCUCCCUGAUGUCAGCGGCGGACGGGUGAGUAACACGUGCGUAACCCGCCUGUAAGACUGUGAUAACUCCGGGAAACCGGGGCUAAUACCGGAUGCUUGAUUGAACCGCAUGGUUCAAUUAUAAAAGGUGGCUUUUAGCUACCACUUACAGAUGGACGCGCGGCGCAUUAGCUAGUUGGUGAGGUAACGGCUCACCAAGGCAACGAUGCGUAGCCGACCUGAGAGGGUGAUCGGCCACACUGGGACUGAGACACGGCCCAGACUCCUACGGGAGGCAGCAGUAGGGAAUCUUCCGCAAUGGACGAAAGUCUGACGGAGCAACGCCGCGUGAGUGAUGAAGGUUUUCGGAUCGUAAAACUCUGUUGUUAGGGAAGAACAAGUACCGUUCGAAUAGGGCGGUACCUUGACGGUACCUAACCAGAAAGCCACGGCUAACUACGUGCCAGCAGCCGCGGUAAUACGUAGGUGGCAAGCGUUGUCCGGAAUUAUUGGGCGUAAAGCGCGCGCAGGCGGUUUCUUAAGUCUGAUGUGAAAGCCCCCGGCUCAACCGGGGAGGGUCAUUGGAAACUGGGGAACUUGAGUGCAGAAGAGGAGAGUGGAAUUCCACGUGUAGCGGUGAAAUGCGUAGAGAUGUGGAGGAACACCAGUGGCGAAGGCGACUCUCUGGUCUGUAACUGACGCUGAGGCGCGAAAGCGUGGGGAGCGAACAGGAUUAGAUACCCUGGUAGUCCACGCCGUAAACGAUGAGUGCUAAGUGUUAGAGGGUUUCCGCCCUUUAGUGCUGCAGCAAACGCAUUAAGCACUCCGCCUGGGGAGUACGGUCGCAAGACUGAAACUCAAAGGAAUUGACGGGGGCCCGCACAAGCGGUGGAGCAUGUGGUUUAAUUCGAAGCAACGCGAAGAACCUUACCAGGUCUUGACAUCCUCUGACAACCCUAGAGAUAGGGCUUCCCCUUCGGGGGCAGAGUGACAGGUGGUGCAUGGUGUCGUCAGCUC
rnacentral:rRNA from 1 species